rnacentral:lncRNA from 1 species
AAUUGCUAGUGCUUACAAAUAUUCAGUAAAUAGUCAAAGAAAUCAGUAGGAACCUACUUGUGGUUUACCAUUUGCCUAAUUUGUUAAAGAAAUUGAAUUUGACUAGAUUGCAGUACAUUUUCUUGAGCUGGAGCACAGCUCUUAUGAAACCAAUUAGAGUGGCUAAUACAUUGUUUUUUUCUGGAAUAGCAAGCACUUCCAAUGACAUUAUAUUGGGUAUGAGAACUAGACAUGAAAAUGAAUUGUUUGUUCCCAUGUUGAAGUUGAACAGACAUAUUAACUUGAUAACAGAUUUUUAUGCAGUGUUCAUAGUUAUGGUUAGCAAAUUGUCUUUAUAAAGUGCUAAUGGGGCAGCAAGGGAGUUAUUUGGUUGCCUUUAAGCUAAUCCUCAACAUAACUUGUUUUUGGAUGGUUUAAUUCUUGACUGAAAACCAGCUAUAUAUGUGUCUAGGAUAACAUGCUAAAAAGCUGCAUAAAUAACACUAUAGUAAAUUUCAAAAAAAAAAAAGAAGAGAAAUUAAAUGCACCUUAAAUGCUAACACAAGGGAGCAAGGUAAUCAAAUGCAGCAGAUGACAAACAGUGACUUCUUCAGUUUCACAUCAAAGCUUCUGUAGAAGUCGUUCAUAAUCAGGUAAGCCAAAAGUGAUGUAUCUAAGACUCUUAGUACAAUAGCUGGACUCACCAUAUUGGCUUCUCAAAAUUCCUAAUUUCACACAAUUCUUGGAAUCACACUCUUUCAACACAUUUAUAUAAAAAAAAAAUCAAAUAUAACUUCUAAAUUUAAGAAAUAGAAAAAAAAAUCAAAGGAAUCAAAGUGAUAAAGUAAAUAUUCAAAUUUACAAAGCAAGGAUUCACUUACAGAGUUAAGGAGAGAGAAGCAAUAGAAAUCCAAGAGAGAAAGCGAAGGAGUGAGCGAGCGAGCGAGAGAGACCGAGCGAGAGAGAGAGAGAGCAGGGAGGAGAGGAGAAGGGGGAGAGAGCACAAGUGAGUCAGAGUAAGGGAGAGGGAUGUCGGUCAAUAGGAUGUGAGUAAGGGAAGAAUUGUCGGUCAAUCGGCACAAUGAGUGAGGGGAAGGGCUGUCGGCAGUAAGGGUGAGUGAGGAAAGUGGCUGUCGGCAGUAAGGAGAGUGAGUGAGGGAUGCAAUGUGAUUUUAGAAUUAGGGUUUCAAUAUAAAAUUGUAUUUUUUAAAAUUAACUUAAUAUAAUAGAUAAUAAUAAUUUAAAUUGAGUAGAAUUAAUAAUAAUAACUUAAUUAGAUAUCCAUAUACACUGAUAAAGAUAUAUAAUAAUAAAAAAAUAGUUUACAACUUAACUAAAAAAUAUAUUUAAAAAAACUAUUAGGAC